rnacentral:misc_RNA from 1 species
UCUCCGUAGGUGAACCUGCGGAGGGAUCAUUACCGAGCUCAUGCCCUACCGGGUAGAUCUCCCACCCUGUGUUAUUAUUACCUUUGUUGCUUUGGCGGGCCGCCGCGCUCCGGCCCCGCUACCGGCUCCGGCUGGUAAGCGCCCGCCAGAGGACCCCAAACCCUGAAUGUUAGUGUCGUCUGAGUACUAUAUAAUAGUUAAAACUUUCAACAACGGAUCUCUUGGUUCUG